ACGAACGCUGGCGGCAUGCCUAACACAUGCAAGUCGAACGAGACCUUCGGGUCUAGUGGCGCACGGGUGCGUAACGCGUGGGAACCUGCCCUUAGGUUCGGAAUAACUCCCCGAAAGGGGUGCUAAUACCGGAUAAUGUCUUCGGACCAAAGAUUUAUCGCCUUUGGAUGGGCCCGCGUUGGAUUAGCUAUUUGGUAGGGUAAAAGCCUACCAAGGCGACGAUCCAUAGCUGGUCUGAGAGGAUGAUCAGCCACACUGGGACUGAGACACGGCCCAGACUACUACGGGAGGCAGCAGUGGGGAAUAUUGGACAAUGGGCGAAAGCCUGAUCAAGCAAUGCCGCGUGAGUGAUGAAGGCCUUAGGGUUGUAAAGCUCUUUUAACCGGGAUGAUAAUGACAGUACCGGGAGAAUAAGCUCCGGCUAACUCCGUG
rnacentral:rRNA from 1 species